CAGCAGCCGCGGGAAUACGGAGGGUGCAAGCGUUAAUCGGAAUUACUGGGCGUAAAGCGUGCGUAGGCGGUUCGUUAAGUCUGUUGUGAAAGCCCCGGGCUCAACCUGGGAAUGGCAAUGGAUACUGGCGAGCUAGAGUGUGUCAGAGGAUGGUGGAAUUCCCGGUGUAGCGGUGAAAUGCGUAGAGAUCGGGAGGAACAUCAGUGGCGAAGGCGGCCAUCUGGGACAACACUGACGCUGAGGCACGAAAGCGUGGGGAGCAAACAGGAUUAGAUACCCCCGUAGUCCCUGUCUCUUAUAA
rnacentral:rRNA from 1 species